rnacentral:snRNA from 1 species
GUGCCCACUUCAGUAGCACAUAUGCUAAAAUUGAGAUGAUGCAAAGAAGAUUAACAUGGCCCCUGCACAAAGAUGAUACACAAAACUAGUGAAGCAUUUCAUAUAUUA